UCCGGGAUGGUCUAGUGGUUAUGACGUCUGGCUUACACGCUGAAGAUCGCGAGUUCAAUCCUCGCUCCUGGUA
rnacentral:tRNA from 1 species